AAAUAUUUGUUGUGGGCCGCGAGUUUGACAUCCUUGUUGUAGCGCCUCAUUUCACAAGUAGUGGUGAAGCAGGAGGGCACUCCUCCCCCCCCCCCGGCUACGCGCCUGCAAUGAAGGAAUGGGAGGAGUUGGCUUGCUAGAAACUUCUUGGAUUAGAUCGACCUAUGUUUAGAAGCAAAAAAUGGUACUGGAAUCUAUUUAGCAAUGCAUUAAAUAUGGCUGUUGUUGCCGGGUGGAUUUUACAUUCACAUUUGCACAAAGGUACAGAAGCCGAAUUGUCACAUCUCAAUUUCAGGAGAAAAGUAACUUUAUGUCUGCUUCGCAUGAAACAGAACCAUAAAAAUAAUAAUUAUUUUUUGUCUUUAUUUCUUGUUCCAAAAAUGUUGGCAAGUUUCUAUUUUUACUUGUAUUAUUUAACUUUUUAUUCAUAUGAUUUCCUUCGGUGUUUUUUUUUUUUUUUUUUUUUUUUUUUUUGUAUGGAGAUUAUUUGUUACUUCUUUAUUCUACAACUCUUUUCCUUGUUUCAGUAUAAACUGCUAACAGUUAAUGUAAAAUUAUUUUAUAAAUUAAUGCUUAUCAACUAUGUAAUUUUCAUUUUAAUCUAUGCUACUUCUGAAUAACGUUGAGAAAUGCACUUGCUAUUGCAGAAAAAGUGCAGACAAAAAAGAAGCUUCGAAUUAGAAUGUCAAUAAUCAUGUUUUUCAAAAAUCAUGUAAAAAAACUGUUUCCCGCGCCAAUAUUCCAUGUAUGGAACAUGUUAUAAUUCAUUAAAACAAUUAAAAAAAUGUUUUCUUUUUUCAUAAUUCCUAUAUUUGAGUUUUAAAUUGAUUUUCCACAACAAAACGUUUAUUUUACUUUCGCAUCAUAGUGUGGUGUGUAAAAGGUUAAAUGCACUAGCUGCUAAAAGUAUAGCAAGCAAUGCAAAUUGGUAGCUGAAUUUCAGAGGCUAAAAAUCACUACAAAUGCAGAUGGCAGUAUGCAAAUAUCGUAUAUUGCAGUCAAUCACAAUUAACAAUCUAAAUUUAUUCUAAUUAAGCAGCUGUUGAAGGCACCAGCAUCCUGAAGGGUUUGAGGAGAUUCGAUUAAAUGUUAAUACGAAGUGUUUCAAACUUAUUUAGGAUAUUUUUGAAGAUAUCCAUGUUUCUAUGACUGAAAAAACACAACUGGCAGAUGAGUGCUAUAGCAUACUGUUAGACACAUUGAAGCAAAAUAGUCAACUGAAGAUAUUGCUCUUUUCUUUGGUUGAAGAUCAUUUGGUAAUUUCUCCAAUGUGGAAAGAAUUCCAAGCAAGUCCUGUGUUCUGUCGACCAAGGUCUUCUGAAGAUUGUUUUAUUGCUAUAAUAGCCAAGAGGAAUUAAUGAGUGAUCUCCACUAGCAUUAGAUCCAUGAUUGCAACGUCACUUGGCAAGACCUGUACUGCACGUUGAAGGCUUCGGAUAAAGGAACUGCAUGCCUGAGUACCAAAUGUUUGCAUUCUGCUAACUUUACAAAAGAGUAAUAAAACUGUGCCAUCAACAUCUCAGUUGGACUGAAGUUUAGAUUUGCUUUGGAAUCAAUAAAUGUGUGAGGGUUUAGAGAAAAUGAGGUUUAUGAAACAGGCUUAGCACAUAAUGUAUUUAUGUGAGGUUUAUGAAACAGGCUUAGCACAUAAUGUAUUUAUGUGAGGUUUAUGAAACAGGCUUAGCACAUAAUGUAUUCAGAGGUGGUACAUAUAUGAUGUGUACUGGAAUUUCACACACAUAUGAACAUCCUCAAAGAUGGUUCUAUGAGAAUUGUGUGGUAACACUACAUUGUGAUACUCUACAUUGCAGCAGUUAGCCCUCAUUUCCUGCUGAUGUUCAUCUUCAUCAUUAAUGAGUACAUAGGGAAUGAGUUCCUGUAUGGAGUGGCCACCAUAUUAUUCUGAAUUCAUCCUGUUACAAAUCUUUGGAAUGCCCUUGAGUGUGUUUUUGCUGCACCUCAUAGAGAAAUGGCUAGUGUUUUUCUUUUGAAGCAAGUACAUCAUCGAACACCAUGCAUUCAGAUGUGGUAGAGACAAGAUGUGUGGUGAAAUUUCACACCGAUCUGAAUAUCUGUAAAAGUGAUUCUUUGACAACUGUGUGGUAACACUCCAUUGUGAUACUUUAUAUUGCAGCACUUAGUCCUCAUUUCCUACUUACAACUCAUUCCCAUCAAAACAGCACCAUUGAUGAGUACCUAGAGAAUGAGGACAUUUCCUGUAUGCAGUGGCCACUGUAUCAUACUGACAUAAUUCUUGUUGCAAAUCUUUGGGAUACCCUUGGGUUUGAUGUCUCUGCACCUUAUGGAGAAAUGGCUAUUGGCUAUUUUUUUAGUCUGUUAUUUUUAAAAUAGGCACAUCAAAUAUGUUGCCAGUUCCUGUGUCCCUUUUGUGAUAAUCACUUGUGUCAUUAUCAACAUGCAGCAUUUAUUUUCUUCACAUUAUUUGAGUGUGUAGUUCAAGUCAGCCUUCAUUUAGGCACUUUGUUAGAUUACUUUGCAUGCAGUUGAAAGGUAGUUUAGAUCAGACAACCUAUGUUUAAAACUUAAUUACAUUAGAAUUCAAUUUAAAUUUGAUAAUUUUUAAAAACUGAAGCAAGUUCCCCAAUAUGAAUUAAAUGCAUACUAAUAUACAUACACUUAUUAAGCAAAAGCAAAAUAUGUUAAUUUGUAAUUCUGUUAAUGUUACUGAUUUAUUCAGCUAUCUUUUAUUAAAAAAUUAAAACCACUCUAAUUCAUAAUAUUAACCAAUGACUUUUAUGUGUAAUACUGCUAAAAACAAUGCUCGUUUUUAUAUAUUAUCUUUUAUAAUGAAAAGAAUAAUAUUCUGGAUUAUUAUUCUUUGUUUUGUUUCAACUGGCAGAAUAAUUCAGUAUUCUACAGCAUAAUUUUGAUUUAGUGCACGGAAAUGAAGUGGAUAUUAAAAAAAGCAUUUUUUGCGACUUCUCUCGCAGCUGUUGUUACCAUGGUUAUGAGUCCAAUCAGAUGGCGACAAAUAAUAUUGAAGUUUCUAUUUUUUAGAUUAUAACAUAUGUGAUGGUUGAUUACCUCAUUCAAAGCACGGCCACUCAUUGUAAAGUUUGUGUGAGAGUCCAGUGAAAGUGAUAAUAUACCUUAUUAUUAUAAUUAGUUCAUGUUCAGCAAUAAAGAUUAUGCUCAAUGGAUACAUCUGUCUACAAGUCUCUCCUUCGAGUGUCAUCUUUUUAGUUAUGUAGUAAGGUCUCUCCAAGUUAUAAUGCAGAGAGCCAUUGUCAAUCCAUUGCAGCUUACUCCAAGUUUUUAUCAUAUAUAUAUACCUGCUUUUAAUUUAAUUUCUUUUUACAAUUGAAAUUUUGUUAUUCAUGAUUUAAUUCAAGUCCCCGUUAAACAUUUUUAACAAUUUACAUUCAAGUUACUUUA